rnacentral:ribozyme from 13 species
UGUCUGGUGUGAAGGAGCAAAGGCAGCAGCAGGGCUGCUUGCUGGUAACGGCGGCGGCAUGGCAAACAGCGUCUGCUGCACAGGCUGCAAGGGCAAUGGUGGUG